CACUUGUCAUUCCGUGCGCGUUGUGCUGUGAAAUACGUUUCACACAAGACCGACGUCGCUGUUGGUUGCCGUGGGCGGCUGCUGGGCAUUCUGAUACCAGAACAAGUCUAGCGAAGGUAAAAAGCCCUGCGUGCUACCGUCCGGUAAGCGCAACGAGUUGCGACGAGACUUGGACGCACAGAACCGGAAUGGAGAACUUCAGGCCGACAUCUUUUACUCGACUUUGCGAGGGACGCUGCGGCAACGCUGUACCAAAGGCGCUGGCACAGAUUGACCCGUCAUUAAUCGAAAUGGAAACAAAUAAACUGACAAACGGGCGAAGAAAUAGAAGUGGAACGGGGACACGGCCAGGAACCAAUUUCAGCAGCGCCUCGCCUUCGCCGACACGACGAAGGCUCCGUCCUUGCGCUGUCGCAUUCUCCGCUUACGGAUUUUCGUUGCGAAAAUGGCGCAUUUUGUGCUGACCAGCUAAGCCUUUCUUCGAGAAGAAGAAGAAGAAACAGUGAGUGAGUUUUUGGUUUCUUUUUAUUGUCUCGUCCGUUGUUUUUACUCUCUCCUGGAGCUUCUGCUAAUCUUCUAAGAGCUUUUACGUACGAAGUGAGAAGCAACUUUUAAGCACCCUUCGUCACCUAUCUUUUUGUUUCUUUUCAAGUAGAAAGCCGCUCUUUAGUCUUACAGUACACCGAAGGACCAAUCAUACGAACCAUCUCCGAGAGGUGUUUCUCUAGCGCCACCCUAAAGCACUUCAGGUGAUGGCGCUGAAAAUGAGCGACGAAAAACUCAUUCGAAAGGAACGUACGACGUAACUGUAGUAGGUGGAAUAAAAUUCAAUAUGUAAUUAUCUUAACGAAAUGGGAGUUGACCAAGGCAUCGCAUUCUUUGUUGAACACAACCUAACGAAGACAACAGACAGUCAAACCAAGUAAAGUAUAGGAGACAUUAUUUGUA
rnacentral:lncRNA from 1 species